rnacentral:rRNA from 1 species
AUGGAUUUGGCUCAGUUGCAUGCGUUUUGGUGUGCGGUGUCCAUGUCUGGGAGCAGGGAUCCGUCGAGGAGGGGGUCCAAGAACAAGAACAGGAGCGUGGAGUUCCCCUGGGAGAUGUACACCCUCAAGGAGCUCCUCCAGGCCACCAACAACUUCAACGAGAGCAACAAGCUCGGCGAGGGCGGCUUCGGCACCGUCUACUGGGGCCGCACCUCCAAGGGCGUCGAGAUUGCGGUGAAGCGGCUGAAGGCGAUGACGGCCAAGGCGGAGAUGGAGUUCGCCAUCGAGGUGGAGAUCCUGGGCCGUGUUCGGCACAAGAACCUGCUCAGCCUCCGCGGCUUCUACGCCGGCGGCGACGAGCGGCUCAUCGUGUACGACUACAUGCCCAACCACAGCCUGCUCACCCACCUCCAUCCGCACCGCGGCACCCCGGCCUCCCAGCAGCACCCGCCGCUCGACUGGCCCCGCCGCCUCGCCAUCGCCCUCGGCGCCGCCCAGGGCCUCGCGUACCUGCACCACGAGGCCAGCCCGCACAUCAUCCACCGCGACAUCAAGGCCAGCAACGUGCUGCUGGACGCGGACCUCGUGCCCAAGGUGGCCGACUUCGGCUUCGCCAAGCUCAUCCCGGAGGGCGUCUCCCAUCUCACCACGCGGGUCAAGGGCACGCUCGGGUACCUGGCGCCGGAGUACGCCAUGUGGGGGAAAGUCUCCGAGAGCUGCGACGUGUACAGCUUCGGCGUGCUGUUGCUGGAGCUUGUCAGCGCGCGCCGCCCGCUGGAGAAGCUGCCGGGCGGCGUCAAGCGAGAGAUCGUGCAGUGGGCGGGGCCGCUCGUGGAGCGCCGCAAGUGGGACCGCCUCGCCGACCCCAGGCUCACCGGGCGGUUCGACGCCUUGCAGCUCCGGGCAGUGGUCGAGACGGCCAUGCUGUGCUCGCAGAGCAACGCAGAGGGCAGGCCGACCAUGGCCGAGGUCGUCGAGAUGCUCAGGUUCAGCGGCGAGCGGCGGAACAGGGAGAUCGUGCCGGUGGCGGACGCCGCCAGCCAGGACACCACCGUGACCAUGGACCGUGAGGACGACGUUACCGGCAGCAGCGAGCCGCUGGACAGGGGCCGCAGCUGGAAGCUGACGACGCUGAGGUGA